AAAUUGAAGAGUUUGAUCAUGGCUCAGAUUGAACGCUGGCGGCAGGCCUAACACAUGCAAGUCGAACGGUAACAGGAAGCAGCUUGCUGCUUCGCUGACGAGUGGCGGACGGGUGAGUAAUGUCUGGGAAACUGCCUGAUGGAGGGGGAUAACUACUGGAAACGGUGGCUAAUACCGCAUAACGUCGCAAGACCAAAGAGGGGGACCUUCGGGCCUCUUGCCAUCAGAUGUGCCCAGAUGGGAUUAGCUUGUUGGUGAGGUAACGGCUCACCAAGGCGACGAUCCCUAGCUGGUCUGAGAGGAUGACCAGCCACACUGGAACUGAGACACGGUCCAGACUCCUACGGGAGGCAGCAGUGGGGAAUAUUGCACAAUGGGCGCAAGCCUGAUGCAGCCAUGCCGCGUGUAUGAAGAAGGCCUUCGGGUUGUAAAGUACUUUCAGCGGGGAGGAAGGUGUUGUGGUUAAUAACCGCAGCAAUUGACGUUACCCGCAGAAGAAGCACCGGCUAACUCCGUGCCAGCAGCCGCGGUAAUACGGAGGGUGCAAGCGUUAAUCGGAAUUACUGGGCGUAAAGCGCACGCAGGCGGUCUGUCAAGUCGGAUGUGAAAUCCCCGGGCUCAACCUGGGAACUGCAUUCGAAACUGGCAGGCUUGAGUCUUGUAGAGGGGGGUAGAAUUCCAGGUGUAGCGGUGAAAUGCGUAGAGAUCUGGAGGAAUACCGGUGGCGAAGGCGGCCCCCUGGACAAAGACUGACGCUCAGGUGCGAAAGCGUGGGGAGCAAACAGGAUUAGAUACCCUGGUAGUCCACGCCGUAAACGAUGUCUACUUGGAGGUUGUGCCCUUGAGGCGUGGCUUCCGGAGCUAACGCGUUAAGUAGACCGCCUGGGGAGUACGGCCGCAAGGUUAAAACUCAAAUGAAUUGACGGGGGCCCGCACAAGCGGUGGAGCAUGUGGUUUAAUUCGAUGCAACGCGAAGAACCUUACCUGGUCUUGACAUCCACGGAAGUUUUCAGAGAUGAGAGUGUGCCUUCGGGAACCGUGAGACAGGUGCUGCAUGGCUGUCGUCAGCUCGUGUUGUGAAAUGUUGGGUUAAGUCCCGCAACGAGCGCAACCCUUAUCCUUUGUUGCCAGCGGUCCGGCCGGGAACUCAAAGGAGACUGCCAGUGAUAAACUGGAGGAAGGUGGGGAUGACGUCAAGUCAUCAUGGCCCUUACGACCAGGGCUACACACGUGCUACAAUGGCGCAUACAAAGAGAAGCGACCUCGCGAGAGCAAGCGGACCUCAUAAAGUGCGUCGUAGUCCGGAUUGGAGUCUGCAACUCGACUCCAUGAAGUCGGAAUCGCUAGUAAUCGUGGAUCAGAAUGCCACGGUGAAUACGUUCCCGGGCCUUGUACACACCGCCCGUCACACCAUGGGAGUGGGUUGCAAAAGAAGUAGGUAGCUUAACCUUCGGGAGGGCGCUUACCACUUUGUGAUUCAUGACUGGGGUGAAGUCGUAACAAGGUAACCGUAGGGGAACCUGCGGUUGGAUCACCUCCUUACCUGAAAGAA
rnacentral:rRNA from 1 species